CAGGGUAUGGCGUAGUUGGGUAGCGUGCCAUCUUGGGGUGAUGGAAAUCGCGGGUUCAAAUCCCGCUGCUCCGA
rnacentral:tRNA from 2 species